GACGAACGCUGGCGGCGUGCUUAACACAUGCAAGUCGAACGGAAAGGCCCUGCUUUUGUGGGGUGCUCGAGUGGCGAACGGGUGAGUAACACGUGAGUAACCUGCCCUUGACUUUGGGAUAACUUCAGGAAACUGGGGCUAAUACCGGAUAGGAGCUCCUGCUGCAUGGUGGGGGUUGGAAAGUUUCGGCGGUUGGGGAUGGACUCGCGGCUUAUCAGCUUGUUGGUGGGGUAGUGGCUUACCAAGGCUUUGACGGGUAGCCGGCCUGAGAGGGUGACCGGCCACAUUGGGACUGAGAUACGGCCCAGACUCCUACGGGAGGCAGCAGUGGGGAAUAUUGCACAAUGGGCGGAAGCCUGAUGCAGCAACGCCGCGUGCGGGAUGACGGCCUUCGGGUUGUAAACCGCUUUCGCCUGUGACGAAGCGUGAGUGACGGUAAUGGGUAAAGAAGCACCGGCUAACUACGUGCCAGCAGCCGCGGUGAUGCGUAGGGUGCGAGCGUUGUCCGGAUUUAUUGGGCGUAAAGGGCUCGUAGGUGGUUGAUCGCGUCGGAAGUGUAAUCUUGGGGCUUAACCCUGAGCGUGCUUUCGAUACGGGUUGACUUGAGGAAGGUAGGGGAGAAUGGAAUUCCUGGUGGAGCGGUGGAAUGCGCAGAUAUCAGGAGGAACACCAGUGGCGAAGGCGGUUCUCUGGGCCUUUCCUGACGCUGAGGAGCGAAAGCGUGGGGAGCGAACAGGCUUAGAUACCCUAGUAGUCCACGCUGUAAACGGUGGGUACUAGGUGUGGGGUCCAUUCCACGGGUUCCGUGCCGUAGCUAACGCUUUAAGUACCCCGCCUGGGGAGUACGGCCGCAAGGCUAAAACUCAAAGGAAUUGACGGGGCCCCGCACAAGCGGCGGAGCAUGCGGAUUAAUUCGAUGCAACGCGUAGAACCUUACCUGGGUUUGACAUGGAUCGGGAGUGCUCAGAGAUGGGUGUGCCUCUUUUGGGGUCGGUUCACAGGUGGUGCAUGGCUGUCGUCAGCUCGUGUCGUGAGAUGUUGGGUUAAGUCCCGCAACGAGCGCAACCCUUGUUCACUGUUGCCAGCACGUUAUGGUGGGGACUCAGUGGAGACCGCCGGGGUCAACUCGGAGGAAGGUGGGGAUGACGUCAAGUCAUCAUGCCCCUUAUGUCCAGGGCUUCACGCAUGCUACAAUGGCUGGUACAGAGAGUGGCGAGCCUGUGAGGGUGAGCGAAUCUCGGAAAGCCAGUCUCAGUUCGGAUUGGGGUCUGCAACUCGACCUCAUGAAGUCGGAGUCGCUAGUAAUCGCAGAUCAGCAACGCUGCGGUGAAUACGUUCCCGGG
rnacentral:rRNA from 1 species